CCCUUAGAUGCUCUGGGCCGCACGCGCGCUACACUGGUCGAUGCAACGAGUUUCUUUCCUUGGCCGACAGGCCUGGGCAAUCUUUGAACAUCGAUCGUGAUCGGGAUAGAUUCUUGUAAUUUUUGAUCUUAAACGAGGAAUUCCUAGUAAGCGCGAGUCAUCAGCUCGUGCUGAUUACGUCCCUGCCCUUUGUACACACCGCCCGUCGCUCCUACCGAUUGAACGUUCCGAUGAAUACCAUGGAUUGAGAGUCUGGAUGGGUUCGCCUAUUUCUGCUUCUCGAGAAGUGGAGUAAAUCUUAGCGUUUAGAGGAAGGAGAAGUCGUAACA
rnacentral:rRNA from 1 species